UGGGGAAUUUUGGACAAUGGGCGAAAGCCUGAUCCAGCAAUGCCGCGUGUGUGAAGAAGGCCUUCGGGUUGUAAAGCACUUUUGUCCGGAAAGAAAUCCUUGGCUCUAAUACAGUCGGGGGAUGACGGUACCGGAAGAAUAAGCACCGGCUAACUACGUGCCAGCAGCCGCGGUAAUACGUAGGGUGCAAGCGUUAAUCGGAAUUACUGGGCGUAAAGCGUGCGCAGGCGGUUUGCUAAGACCGAUGUGAAAUCCCCGGGCUCAACCUGGGAACUGCAUUGGUGACUGGCAGGCUAGAGUAUGGCAGAGGGGGGUAGAAUUCCACGUGUAGCAGUGAAAUGCGUAGAGAUGUGGAGGAAUACCGAUGGCGAAGGCAGCCCCCUGGGCCAAUACUGACGCUCAUGCACGAAAGCGUGGGGAGCAAACAGGAUUAGAUACCCUGGUAGUCCACGCCCUAAACGAUGUCAACUAGUUGUUGGGAUUCAUUUCCUUAGUAACGUAGCUAACGCGUGAAGUUGACCGCCUGGGGAGUACGGUCGCAAGAUUAAAACUCAAAUGAAUUGACGGGGUCAUAGCUGUUUCCU
rnacentral:rRNA from 1 species